UCCUAUGGUGACCGCUUCACUUCUUCCAGCGUCUCUUUGCUGGGCUGUUGGGAAGGCUGCUCUAGGAGGGGCGCGUCUGGGGAGAGGUUACCACCAAAGAACAUGAUUUUGGCCUAGGGGCUCCAAUAAAUAAAGCUGAGAAAUACCGUAAUACUCCCCAAGAAGUAAGAAACCAAGAGAGACUCAUCCAUAAGCUAAAAUUUACAGGUUAUUACAAUUAAACAAACAUAUUGAAGAUCUCAAGCAGACAAAUCAUGGCAUGGAAGAACAUGUUAAGAAACCUUUGGAACUCAGAAAAGUAUUGACCAGUUAUAGAUAAAUGGUUUAAGCAGCCAGAAUGUGCAUCUUUGUAAAGAAUUGAUUAAAGUAGACCAACUAAAAGCAGCUGGAAAAAGAGAAUUGUUAUUGGAUACCACAUACAGGGACUUUUAAAUACUCAAAGGUGCUUCUGCAUUUUUUUCCCCAUUCUUCAUUUUUGGAUCUUUUAAACUUUAACUUAGUUAUUUGAAAUUGGAAGAAGCAGAAGACUAUUUUCUUUGUUUUGGCCUGGAUAUAGCUGCUCCAUGUUCUUUAUUAUAUCAAGGCUCUUUUGGGACUGAACUUAGAUGUCAGCAAAAUAAUAUUAUAGUACUAGAAGAUACAAUAAAGUCUUAGAUAUAUUUGAUUCUUUUGUCAAGACUUUAGGAGCAGACAACUCAUCAUAAGAGUGAAGCUGAAAAUUUGGGAAAGAUGAUUCGAAGUAGAUCUAAAAGUCCUCGACGCACUUCUCCACCUCCCAGGGUACACAUGGGAGCAAAUUGUGAUUCAGAGCUUUUGAAGACAAGAGAUCGUGAGGAACUUAGAUGUAUGUUGGACAAAUAUGAACGUCACUUGGCUGAAAUUCAGGGUAAUGUCAAGGUUCUCACAUCUGAAAGAGACAAGACCUUUCUUCUUUAUGAACAGGCACAAGAAGAAAUAGCUAGACUGAGACGAGAAAUGAUGAAAAAUUGCAAGUCUCCUAAAUCAACAUCAACAGCACAUGCAAUCUUACGACGGGUAGAAACAGAAAGAGAUGUGGCCUUCACUGACUUACGAAGAAUGACCACGGAACGAGAUAGUCUGAGGGAGAGGUUAAAGAUUUCCCAAGAGACUGCAUUUAAUGAGAAGGCUCACCUGGAACAAAGAGUAGAGGAGUUGGAGUCUACAGUACACAGUCUUGAUGACGAACGUCUAGAACAAAUGGCGAAUAUGACUUUGAUGAAAGAAACCAUAACCACUGUGGAAAAGGAGAUGAAAGCACUAGCGCGAAAGGCGAUGGAUACAGAGAGUGAACUUGGCAGACAAAAAGCAGAGAACAAUUCUUUGAGGCUUUUAUAUGAAAACACAGAAAAGGAUCUUUCAGACACUCAGCGACACCUUGCUAAGAAGAAAUAUGAGCUACAACUUACCCAGGAAAAAAUUAUGUGUUUAGAUGAAAAGAUUGAUAAUUUUACAAGGCAAAGUAUUGCCCAGCGAGAAGAAAUCAACCUUCUUGGUGCAACACUCAGUGAUAUAGCUAAAGAAAAGGAAUGCCUGCAAGCAUGCUUGGAUAAAAAAUCUGAGAAUAUUGCUUCCCUUGGAGAGAGCUUGGCAAUGAAAGAAAGGACAAUUUCAGGCAUGAAGAAUAUCAUUGCUGAAAUGGAGCAGGCAUCAAGACAAUCAACUGAAGCUCUUAUCAUGUGUGAACAAGACAUUUCCAGAAUGCGUAGACAACUGGAUGAAACAAGUGAUGAGCUUGCUCAGAUUGCUAGAGAAAGAGAGGCCUUGGCUCGUGACAAUGAUAAACUCCAAGAGUCAGUCUCUAGAAUUAAGCAGGAAAACCAGGUGUUAUCCAAAAAAUUGACUGAAAAUCAAACUGAGCUUAGUGAUUUAAAACAGAAGAGCCAUGACUGUAACAGUGAUGUUAACAAGCUGAAAUCUUUACUAAAGGCUGAAGAGACUGAGAACCGGCAACUUAUGGAGGACCUUCGAAAGGCUGUUGAACAGGCUGAAAGCUGGGAAGCCAAAGCCCGCCAAACCGAGGCAGACAACAACACUAUCAAACUGGAACUUUUAAGUGCAGAGGCAGAGAGUAACAGACUAAAAGAAAAAGUGGACUCGCUCAAUAGAGAGGUUGAGCAACACUUAAAUGCAGAAAGGUUGUACAAGUCUCAGAUUUCCACUUUGCACAAAUCCCUUUUAAAGAUGGAAGAGGAGCUUCAGAAGGUUCAGUUUGAGAAAGUCUCUGCCCUUGCAGAUUUGUCUUCCACACGGGAACUCUGUAUAAAACUGGACUCUAGCAAAGAACUACUCAGUCGACAGCUUAUUGCCAAAGAUCAAGAAAUAGAUAUGGUGGAGAAUGAGUUAGAUUCUGCUCGAAAUGAAGUAGAACUUCUUAGGAACCAGAUGGCGAACGAUAGAAUCUCCAUGCAGAAUCUAGAAGCUUUGCUGGUAGCCAAUCGGGACAAAGAGUACCAGACUCAAGUAGCACUUCAAGAAAAGGAAUCUGAAAUCCAGCUUCUAAAAGAGCACCUUUGUUUGGCUGAAAAUAAAAUGGCCAUUCAAAGUCGAGAUGUUGCCCAGUUCAGAAAUGUAGUAACACAACUGGAAGCUGAUCUAGAUAUUACAAAAAGACAACUAGGGACAGAGCGCUUUGAAAGAGAGCGGGCUGUACAAGAACUUCGUCGCCAGAAUUAUACUUCUUCCAAUUAUUAUCACAUGAGCUCUACAAUAAAACCAACACCUAGGUGUCAUUCACCUGACCGUGCUCUUCAUCGAUCCCCUGAUCGAGGCCUAGACAGAUCACUGGAAGAGUAAGUGGUUCCAGGAUCCAUUCUUGUGGAAAAACACAUGGAGAUGUACACUGAACAAUUGGGGGAGGAAUCUGUCCUUUAGAGAUUUUUGACACAUGAAGGUUCUUCAUCCUCUGGAAAGCAAGGGUUAAAAACUGAACUCAAGUUUAUGCUGUAUAAUUGAUUUUAUCUUUUGAAUGCUUGACAAUGUUAAAUGUAUUUAUUGACCUCAAGAGAACAAACUCUGAAUCAGCCAUGGUGUUCUGUUUCAUACAGCUAAUCUCUUGUUAUUAUGCCAUAUUGCAGUGACUCAGCUUGACAUUCAGAAGGAAAAAUGCAUAUGGCUGUGUCGAUCCACACAUUAAUAGUGAGUGUAAAGAAAAAGAUUUGCCUACUCCACUAUUGAAGGCUGUGGAAUAACAUUGUUCCUGGAGAGAAAAUAAAGAAACUUAUGAAAAGAGGGAAAAGUGUUUUACAAAACUGAUUUCUUUUCCUUUUUUUGGUAUCUAAUGUGGUUGGUUAAAUUUUAUCUUUGUGAUUUGUGCUUUCACGUCUAAAGAAAUUGUGCCAAAAUUGGCAAACUUUUUUUUUUAUUUGAUCAAUACUGGUCUGGGACCCAGUAUUUCUCUCCAUUUUGGAACCAACUUAAUAAAGUCCAUAUCAUCUGAUUUCAAAGAAGCAGAAAGUACAAGUGUGUCAGUGAUGUUCAGUACAUACUGUUGUACAAUUCAAAGACCUAAUUAACAAACAUUUUCUACAAUUGUGUUUACUUCCACUAUUGUUAGAAAGGUAGGUGAUGAUAUAUCUGUAAAGAAUGUAA